rnacentral:rRNA from 1 species
UACGUAGGGGGCUAGCGUUGUCCGGAAUCAUUGGGCGUAAAGAGCGCGUAGGCGGCCAGAUAAGUCCGGUGUGAAAGUCAGAGGCUCAACCUUUGAAUGCCGCUGGAAACUGUCUGGCUAGAGUCCGGGAGGGGCGAGUGGAAUUCCUGGUGUAGCGGUGAAAUGCGCAGAUAUCAGGAGGAACACCGGUGGCGAAGGCGGAUCUCUGGGCCAUUACUGACGCUGAGGAGCGAAAGCGUGGGGAGCGAACAGG